UGAGAACCAAUCAUCACGUCCCUGCCUACUUCGCUCGGCUCGGCGCUAAACUUGCACUCCAGGUACUCUAUCUUAGAUAUGCUUAUUUUGAAACCUUUAGACUCGAGAGUCUGUCUCCAUACGUCUAACCUUUCGAUAACACCGACCAUCAUCUCAUCUAUCAAUACUAUGUCAUCAGCAAAUAGCAUACACCAAGGCACAUCCCCUUGAAUAUAUCGGGUUAGAGCAUCUAUCACUAAGGCAAACAAGAGGGGGCUCAGCGCCGAUCCUUGAUGGAG
rnacentral:lncRNA from 1 species